GUGAAAUUACUAAAGGACUGUACUACAACAAAGUUGUAUUCCUCUCUGAUUAUAAUUAGUCCUGUGCAUUUGCAUUAAGAUAAACUGUCCUAAAUAUGAAAGUUAAUGAUUGACUAUUAGAUAUUCAAAUUACAUGACUUAAAUUUUAUGGAGGUUAUUCAUUAGUGUAACGUUAUAUCUUCCAUAUAUUUUCUUACUCAUAGAUGGUGAUGACAGCGAAGAUAGGAUUCCUCAAUUCAUCUGUGACGACAGUGAGGUCCAUAUGCCCCCUGUUCCUCCCCUUAAAAGAGAGCAAUUACAACCAACCCUUAAUCCAUGUUAAUCCCAGGCUGUGCUUGUGAGCCUUUAAUUUCAAAAGUUUUGUGGUCCCUGUCAUGCCCAUAGUGAAAGAGAAAUGAUGUCUACCUGGUAUAUGGACGGUGUCGGGGAGAACCGAGGUGGUUAUACAAAACAGGGACAAGAACUUCUGCUACAGAGUGAGAUGAAGCUGCAGAGUAACCUUGUGGAGAGAGAAGAGCAGCGAUCUGGCACAUGAGCUGGACAUCAAACCAGUGCAUCUGUCAAGUGGACAUGGACCGAGCAGCAGAACCCUGAAGGGGUAUUCAUGGUCUGUAGAUCCCGUUACAGAUGAGGAUGAUGAUAUUGAAAGUCUUCUUGCUCCACAAGCAAAGUAAAGACAGCGUCAGCAGCAGGGAGAGGAGGAAGAGGAGGGAGGGAGGAAGAGCAGGGCAUAGUGCAACAGACAGGUCCUCUGCAGGAUCCGGGGAGGUGGUUAUUGCUGAGGCUUCAGUAUCUUCUGCCUCUGUGGUACAAAGCUAAGAGAAUGAUGGGACAUCGGAGGCAAAGAGCAAGACAAACAGUAGGAGUCCCUGAGUCAUAGGGAGCGGUUGGUGAGUCAAAUGGAGGAAUCAAGUCAAAUCAGGAAUCAUGGAGUCAUAGGGCAUAGACAAUGAGUCAAAAGGGGGAGUCAAUAAGUCAAAUUGAGUCAGGGAGUCAUAGGGAGGAAGUAGCCAGAGAGAAAGAAGUAAGAGAGAAUGACAUGGAGGCCACAGAAGGAGAAGAGGAGAGUCUGGUCUGACUCACUGUGAAGGAGGGAGCAACAGGAGAAUAGGAGAGUCUGGUCUGACUCAGUAUGGAGGAGGGAGCAAAAGGAGAAGAGGAGAGUCUGGUCUGACUCGGUAUGGAGGAGGGAGCAACAGGAGAAGAGGAGAGUCUGGUCUGACUCACUGUGGAGGAGGGAGCAACAGGAGAAUAGGAGAGUCUGGUCUGACUCAGUAUGGAGGAGGGAGCAACAGGUGAAGAGGAGUCUGGUCUGACUCACUGUGGAGGAGGGAGCAACAGGAGAAUAGGAGAGUCUGGUCUGACUCAGUAUGGAGGAGGGAGCAACAGGAAAAGAGGAGAGUCUGGUCUGACUCAGUAUGGAGGAGGGAGCAACAGGAAAAGAGGAGAGUCUUGUCUGACUCAGUAUGGAGGAGGGAGCAACAGGAAAAGAGGAGAGUCUGGUCUGACUCAGUAUGGAGGUGGGAGCAACAGGAGAGGAGGAAAUUGAACAUGAUGGGGGGGGGGCUGAGGAAGAAAAGGGAAUGGGAGAACACAAGGAGAAUAUGAGAAUAAAGGGGAUGAGACUGGCAGUCUCCAUGGGGGUGUCACAGCAUUCAAUUCUCGGGCCGACUCUUUUCUCUGUAUACAUCAAUGAUGUCGCUCUUGCUGCUGGUGAUUCUCUGAUCCACCUCUACGCAGGCGACACUAUU